UACGUAGGGGGCAAGCGUUGUCCGGAAUCAUUGGGCGUAAAGCGCGUGUAGGCGGUUCGAUAAGUCUGCUGUGAAAGUCCAGGGCUCAACCCUGGGAUGCCGGUGGAUACUGUCGGGCUAGAGUACGGAAGAGGCGAGUGGAAUUCCCGGUGUAGCGGUGAAAUGCGCAGAUAUCAGGAAGAACACCCGUGGCGAAGGCGGCUCUCUGGGACGGUACUGACGCUGAGACGCGAAAGCGUGGGGGAGCGAACAGG
rnacentral:rRNA from 1 species